AAAACUACAAAUCAAAGAAAAAUGAAUAGAGCAACUAAGUUUCUUGUGAUGAUCUUGUUCAUUGGAGUUCUUUGUACUGAUGUAGGCGCAAGGAAGCUCGACAAAGUGUCCAAUGAACUUAUGGAUCAAAAAUCCUUUAUGUUUCCGCCGAUGCCAUCAACGCUUCCGAUACCAGUGGUUCCGCCAGUGCCAUUACCAGAACCCAUAUCUGGAUUAGGUGAAGCAGUCUCUGCAACAAAAGAAGAAGGAGUUGAGAAUGGUGUAGGUAUGUUGUCCAAAGACACCAAAUUAGGCAUCUCUAUUCCCAAAACUGCCGCUACCAACGGCCUUGGAACUGAGCUUAUCCUUAUUGUUAAAAGUAGUGCCAGAAAAGUGAAAACUGCCAAUGAUAAUGCUGGAUCGGGUCCUGGCGGUCCUGGUUCUCGUGCAACUGGACGUACCGUUGUAGAGACUUCUGGAACUGUCAUUGUUGAUGGUCCCAACCCAAGCGCUUAUUCUACCAGUAUCGCUGACCGUCAAGCUGGUGCCGGUGCUGAAGCGGGUCCCGACGGUGCUAAAAGCAAUGGAACAAGUACCGGAUAUGCCUACACCAAUGCGGGUGGCAGCACUAGCAACAGUAACCCUUGAACAAUUAAUAAUUCUCCGCAAAAUCAGCAAUCUCUUCUGUAUUCAUAAAUAAAACCGGAGAUUGUCACCUCUAUCAGUUAUGAUAUAAUGUUACUCUCUAUGUGUAAUGUCUAUUGUAUAUAUAUGAAAUCAAUGCAAUACAUCCGACCUAACUAAUUUCUCCGCUAGUAAAAUACAUACGCAUGUGUUUUCUUGGUUACCGAUGCAUGACAAAAUAGAAUAUACGACCUUGUUUCAUUUCAUGCCUUCAUCUAAAUGAUAAAUGAUAAGCUCAGCGGUUGGAUAACGCAUGUUCUUGUUGCGUAGUUCAAUGAUUUUCAGAUAUAUGCACCCUCUUUUUAAAUGCAACAAGUACACGUCGACCUCUGAAUUUCCUAACAUAUCUAAGACUAACAAAGCUCGCUCAAGAAUCAUUAAUCCAUUCACGUCAUUAGGUCAAAAACUUAUCUUCCAUCUCCUAUUUCAUAGUCUAAAACAUAUAUGAGGGGAGCUGAUGGAAGAAUAGCAAAUUAAAAGAAAAAUUAUGUCAAAUUUUUAUAUCUUUUUUCUCUAAAAAUUAUUUUUACUUCACAUAUUAGUAUAGACCAUCAAAGGCUGUUGAUAGGAGAGGUCCAUUAGUCUGGGUCGAUUGCUUCCUAGAUUGCAUGGAAACUCGGUUGAUGACUCUUUUUCGUCUUAUAAUCAAAUUCUCUUAAAAACACAUAGGAACGCAUUGGAAACACUUUUGUUAAAAGAAAUAUUUUGAAUGCGCCAUUGAAACUUAUGUUUUGAUUUUAGAAACUUGUGAUUCUGUUUUGACAACACAAAAAAACUUUUAUUUUUUAUUUGAAAACAUAAUAUAUACAUAAUUAGUAAAUGUAUUGAUAUAUUUGUUAUUUUGAUAAGUUUUAUCACAUGAUAAUAUGCUUUUUUUUUGAUAAAAGGUUAUAAAUCUACAAAUAUAAUUAAUAGUCUUUCAUUAUUUAGUUUAUUCUAAUAGAUAAAUUAAAUAGAGGAAAAAAAUUGAAGUCAUAAGUAGUUCAAUCGUGUGUAUAUAUAUAUAUAUACAUUAAUAGAUAUUGUAAAAUGUUUAUAUUUCUAAUUAUUUUUUAAAAUUAUGUUUCCACGUUUUGAAACUUUUUGUUUCAACGUAUCCAUUUCUGAUUCUAUGCAACCUAGAUUGCUUACAUCCUCAAUUGCAUUAUAAUUUUUGUUUGAUCCAUACUACUAAAAAUUCACUUAAACAACGAGAGCGGAUCAUCUAACAUAAUAUCUAAGUGAUAUGAAUCUGUCUACAUGUAUAAUAUGGCCAAUUAAUUUAUAUUAUAGAUAAAAUAAAUAUAAGAUAAAGGGGGUGAUUGGUUGGGCUGUAGAAAGUGACUUUAGCUUUAAUUUUCAUCUACAACCUUAAAUACUACCAAUCAUGCUUUAUCUUGGUUUUUAAAGCUACAACCAAAAAAUUAAAACUACAGUAAAAACACACAAAAAAUGGCUGUAAACAUCUUAUUUUCUAAAGCCCCAUUUUUUUAGCUGUAGGAAAUUUUAAAGCUACAUCAUUUAAAGCUAAAUCAAAAAUCCUACAGACAAAAUAUUAAAGUAAAUUUUCUACAAUUACAACCCAACCAAUCACCCCCAUAAUAUAAGUGAUGCAUAACGAAGAUAAAAUAUAUUAGAAGAUUAAGUUCAAAAUAUGAUAAUGCUAAAAGUUUAUAAGUCACGAGGUUGACUUCGGGUAAUUUGACAUCUUGGUAAGACUAUUAGUUGUAAACUUGUAAUUUAACUAAUGCAUUUAAGUAUGCAUGUUUCUUGUAAGAAAUGCGCACGUACGUAUCCCAAUAAAUACAUGUAUAUAUAGGGUGUGUGAACCGCUCAUCUGUUACGAUCCACCAUGUAAACUAUUUGGGCCGAAACCCAAGUUCAUACUAGCUAAGUGGUAAUAGUUUAAUUUCUAGGAUUGAAUCGAACCCAUAAUUGAUGUGGAUACACGUCGAAUCCAAAAAAAAAUACUAUUAGGCUACCACCACUUGUUUCUUUCUUUUGUUUAUUUUCAUAAACUAUAAAAUUCAGACAUCACCUUCAUAGCAUUAUAAUAGUAUAACAUCAUCAAACGUAUUACUACAAAGAAGAAAACAUUAACAAAACAUCGCCAUCACAAUAUCAUCAUUCAAUGUAUUCAUCACCAUUAUAACAUUAUAACCAUGUCAUUAACAUGAUUUUUUCAUCGUAGUAUCACCAUAUGAUCAUAUUAUCGUAACACCACCACCAGCUUGUCAUCAUUAUCAUAUUAUUUUAAUUAUUGUUCUUACCCCCACCACGAUCAUAACAUCAUCAUCACUAAAAAACGUUACUGACAAAAUGUAAUUUUACAAAAACAUACGUCUAAGAAAAUUUCCGCCAAUAAGAUUUUGUAAGUUUUCAUCCCAUGCAAAAACCCAUUCUUUCAUGGGCCAUAUCUACAAUUAAUUUGCCUUAAGUUACUCAUGCACGUCUUCCAUUGAUUUCGAAUUUUUUCAUAUGGCCCAGUAGAUCAUAAUUAACCCCAAACUUAACUUGAAUUCUUAUCCUUCAAUCAAGAGACAUUUUUAGUUUUUAACUAAAAAAAAACUAAAAACCGUCUUUUAAAUAAGAGAUAUAAGAUAUCGUAUAUUAGCUGAAAAAUGUUAAAAAAUAAGAAGUAUCAAAUCAUAAAUUAAGAGUAUCAAUUUUUAAAGGAUACAAAUUUAAAUAUUUUCAAGCGAAAACUAAACAGAAAUUAGAAGCAAAAUAAUUGCCGACAUAUCAGUUUUUUCUUCAUUUAUAAUUGCCGUAAUAUCUUGUUUCAGUGGCCUGACCGACUGAUUUAUCCAAUUUGAGAACAUUACGUAAGACAAACACCAAAUAUUAUUAUAUAAGAUGUUAAGCUUAAUUUACCAACACGUCAGGUUAAAUACUUUCAAGUAGCUCAGAUACCUAAUUUAUACGAAAUCUAUUUCGCAUUUAAUUAUAUACAGUAACAAUUAACAACUAACAAUAUACACACACUGACGUUUAAAAAUUUAAGUAAUAUGUGUUUAAUUAGGCGUGUGACUAUUUAUAGGCCAUGAUGUUGGGAACACGAACUCUUUUCAAAGAACAAAAAAAAACUACAAAUCAAAGAAAAAUGAAUAGAGCAACUAAGUUUCUUGUGAUGAUCUUGUUCAUUGGAGUUCUUUGUACUGAUGUAGGCGCAAGGAAGCUCGACAAAGUGUCCAAUGAACUUAUGGAUCAAAAAUCCUUUAUGUUUCCGCCGAUGCCAUCAACGCUUCCGAUACCAGUGGUUCCGCCAGUGCCAUUACCAGAACCCAUAUCUGGAUUAGGUGAAGCAGUCUCUGCAACAAAAGAAGAAGGAGUUGAGAAUGGUGUAGGUAUGUUGUCCAAAGACACCAAAUUAGGCAUCUCUAUUCCCAAAACUGCCGCUACCAACGGCCUUGGAACUGAGCUUAUCCUUAUUGUUAAAAGUAGUGCCAGAAAAGUGAAAACUGCCAAUGAUAAUGCUGGAUCGGGUCCUGGCGGUCCUGGUUCUCGUGCAACUGGACGUACCGUUGUAGAGACUUCUGGAACUGUCAUUGUUGAUGGUCCCAACCCAAGCGCUUAUUCUACCAGUAUCGCUGACCGUCAAGCUGGUGCCGGUGCUGAAGCGGGUCCCGACGGUGCUAAAAGCAAUGGAACAAGUACCGGAUAUGCCUACACCAAUGCGGGUGGCAGCACUAGCAACAGUAACCCUUGAACAAUUAAUAAUUCUCCGCAAAAUCAGCAAUCUCUUCUGUAUUCAUAAAUAAAACCGGAGAUUGUCACCUCUAUCAAUUAUGAUAUAAUGUUACUCUCUAUGUGUAAUGUCUAUUGUAUAUAUAUGAAAUCAAUGCAAUACAUCCGACCUAACUAAUUUCUCCGCUAGUAAAAUACAUACGC
rnacentral:lncRNA from 1 species